UUCUUACAGUAUAUCAUUCUAAGUAAAAUCUGCUCAAUGUAAAAUAAAUAGCCGCAGAAAUCUGUGCUAAGGUAGCAAAAUCAUUAGUCUCUUAAUUUGGGACCAGAAUGAACGAUUAAACAAUUUUAUAAUUUUUUUCACUUGACUAACUUAAAUUAUAUUAUAAAUAAAAAUAUUUAUAUAAAUAUAUUAGACGAUAAGACCCUAUUAAACUUUACUUAAGUUAAGCUGGGGAAGCUAGUUAAUCAAUAUUUUAACUAAAGUCAAUACAAACUCACCCUAUAAAUUAGAAAAAUCAAGUUACUAUAGGGAUAACAGCGUAAUUUAUUUUCAUAGAUCUUAUUUUUAAAAAAGAUUGCGACCUCGAUGUUGAAUAGUAAUCUUUAAAGUGCAAUAACCUUAAAAGAGGGUCUGUUCGACCCUUAAACAACUACA
rnacentral:rRNA from 1 species